rnacentral:rRNA from 1 species
UACGUAGGGUGCAAGCGUUGUCCGGAAUUAUUGGGCGUAAAGAGCUUGUAGGCGGUUUGUCGCGUCUGCUGUGAAAUUUCGGGGCUCAACCCCGAACUUGCAGUGGGUACGGGCAGACUAGAGUGUGGUAGGGGAGAGUGGAAUUCCUGGUGUAGCGGUGAAAUGCGUAGAUAUCAGGAGGAACACCGGUGGUGCAGACGGCUCUCUGGACCGCGACUGACGCUGAGACACGAAAGCGUGGGUAGCAAACAGG